UGAAUGUGAGGGCAAUCUGGCUGCAACAUCUGUCACCCCACUGAUUGCCAGGGUUGAUUCAAAUGAUCUGGCUGGUUAGGUGGGUCUCCCCUUCCUCAGUGCUCAAUGUGCGUCCUUCCUAAAGCUGUGUGCUUGGUUGAAGAGGAUGAUCACCCCAAUAGGGGAGGAUCAUUCAUCAGUCAAGGGUAUAUGAGUAGCUGUGCUCUCCUGAUAGAACCUCCAAACAAGCUCUCAAGGUCCUUAACAUGAUCUUGCCCUAAACCACACUGCAUGCCCUAAGCCCACAUGCUGCCCCUUCAAACUGGACCAUGGUGUCUGAUUUU
rnacentral:snRNA from 1 species